AAACUGUCCACUCUGGUACAGGCAGAGGUGGCUUUCUUGAACCCGGGGCAAGAGACGCUGACGAAUUGCUUGGUGACGAUCUCUGGAAGCGGUCUCCAGAGAGGAGAGCUGGAAGUCCCACUCGGAGAUCUCCUACCGUCCAGAAGGAUACGCGUCAGGUUCCCCAUCAUCCCCUACAAACUCGGGCUGAGGACGCUCGUCGCCGACUUCGACUGCUCGCUCUUCAGAAAUGUCAAAGGCAGCUGCACUGUCACCGUCAAACCCUGAACUCCCACAAUGUCAGAUUUAUUCUCUCCUCUCUUAGAUUCACGAGUUUCACACUCUGCUGGCUUCACACACCUCUCCUGUUAGGUUGAUGAUUUCAUUUAGUUCCUGGUGUUUUAAAAAUCUGCUCAGAAGUCCUGAGAGCUAACGGGACACAUAAAGCCCGCAGCUAUCUUACGGCUAAAACGCACACGUCUCAUAUAUACGAUGAAUCUCGUCUAUACUCUUUUAUAAAAACUGUGACACUCAUCACACAUCUCUCCUUUCCGCCCUGCUAUCUGGUGUUACAGCGCCUCCUUGUGGCUAAAGAAAAAACUGCUGUGAGUUUGAUUGUGUCUCUAUUUGCUCUGCUUUGUUCAAUAUGUUGACGUGUGCACAAAUAAAAUGUUCACACAAA